rnacentral:misc_RNA from 1 species
AACGCACAUUGCGCCCUUUGGUAUUCCGAGGGGCAUGCCUGUUCGAGCGUCAUUUGCAUCCUCAAGCUCUGCUUGGUGUUGGAGGCCGUCCCGUUGGGAUGCCCCCGAAACUCAGCGGCGGCGUAGCCGGACCCCCUGGCGCAGUGACCUAGCGUCGCCCGGGGGUCGUCGGUCGUGCGUCUGCCGGACAACAACCACGAAUCUAUAAAUCGACCUCGGAUCAGGCAGGACUACCCGCUGAACUUAA